UGAUGCAAACCUAGCAAGAGGGAGUGCAGAGGUGCAUGUGGCGUGGAGUUGAACUUGGCACCUGAGAGCCAGUGCUGGGGCCUAAGGGAAACUGGCUGUGAGCACAACUUACUUACUGGCUUUGGAGCCUACAGGGAAGAGGGUGUGAGAAGAGUCAGUGAAAGCUUUGGCCUUGCUGGAUUUUAAGAAUGAAUCAAAACUGUCAUAGGUGACUGAGGAAAUAGAAGAAAGAUGUUCCAGCAACAAGUAUAGGAAAGAGGAGCAGGUGACAAGCUAAUGGAAAUGUCUUAAGCCUAUACUGCUGUGAAGAUGAUACUUUCUCAAAUCACAGAACCAAGCAUUAUAAUGGUGAGUGACUUUAAAAAGUCUGGACAUAUAUAUUCUUUUUGAUUAAUGUGGUUUAUAGCGAAUGAUGUGAUAAAUGGCUAAAAUAUUUAAAAUAAAGUUUCACAGAAUCACA
rnacentral:lncRNA from 1 species